rnacentral:rRNA from 1 species
GUGUUGUUGGGUAGGGGAGCGUUCUGUAAGCCUGUGAAGGUGUGUCGUGAGGCAUGCUGGAGGUAUCAGAAGUGCGAAUGCUGACAUAAGUAACGAUAAAGCGGGUGAAAAGCCCGCUCGCCGGAAGACCAAGGGUUCCUGUCCAACGUUAAUCGGGGCAGGGUGAGUCGACCCCUAAGGCGAGGCCGAAAGGCGUAGUCGAUGGGAAACGGGUUAAUAUUCCCGUACUUGGUGUUACUGCGAAGGGGGGACGGAGAAGGCUAUGUUGGCCGGGCGACGGUUGUCCCGGUUUAAGCGUGUAGGUGUGUGUUCCAGGUAAAUCCGGUUCACUUUAACACUGAGGCGUGAUGACGAGGCACUACGGUGCUGAAGCAACAAAUGCCCUGC